rnacentral:rRNA from 1 species
UACGGGAGGCAGCAGUGGGGAAUAUUGCACAAUGGGCGAAAGCCUGAUGCAGCUAUGCCGCGUGUAUGAAGAAGGCCUUAAGGUUGUAAAGUACUUUCAUCGGGGAGGAAAAACAAAACUAAUAAUUUUAUUUCUUGACGUUACCCGAAAAAGAAGCACCGGCUAACUCCGUGCCAGCAGCCGCGGUAAUACGGAGGGUGCUAGCGUUAAUCAGAAUUACUGGGCGUAAAGAGCACGUAGGUGGUUUUUUUAAGUCAGAUGUGAAAUCCCUGGGCUUAACCUAGGAACUGCAUUUUGAAACUGAAAUACUAGAGUAUCGUAGAGGGAGGUAGAAUUCUAGGUGUAGCGGUGAAAUGCGUAGAUAUCUGGAGGAAUACCUGUGGCGAAAGCGGCCUCCUAAACGAAUACUGACACUGAGGUGCGAAAGCGUGGGGAGCAAACAGGGAUUAGAUACCCGU